GACGAACGCUGGCGGCGUGCUUAACACAUGCAAGUCGAACGGAAAGGCCCUUCGGGGUACUCGAGUGGCGAACGGGUGAGUAACACGUGGGUGAUCUGCCCUGCACUUUGGGAUAAGCCUGGGAAACUGGGUCUAAUACCGAAUAGGACCGCGACCUUCAUGGGUUGUGGUGGAAAGCUUUUGCGGUGUGGGAUGGGCCCGCGGCCUAUCAGCUUGUUGGUGGGGUAAUGGCCUACCAAGGCGACGACGGGUAGCCGGCCUGAGAGGGUGACCGGCCACACUGGGACUGAGAUACGGCCCAGACUCCUACGGGAGGCAGCAGUGGGGAAUAUUGCACAAUGGGCGCAAGCCUGAUGCAGCGACGCCGCGUGAGGGAUGACGGCCUUCGGGUUGUAAACCUCUUUCAGCAGGGACGAAGCGCAAGUGACGGUACCUGUAGAAAAAGCACCGGCUAACUACGUGCCAGCCGCCGCCUAACAC
rnacentral:rRNA from 1 species